GUGUCAGCAGCCGCGGUAAUACGAAAGGGGCUAGCGUUGUUCGGAAUUACUGGGCGUAAAGCGCGCGUAGGCGGCCUUGCAAGUUGGGGGUGAAAUCCCGGAGCUCAACUCCGGAACUGCCUUCAAAACUGCAAAGCUAGAGGAUGCGAGAGGUGAGCGGAAUUCCGAGUGUAGAGGUGAAAUUCGUAGAUAUUCGGAAGAACACCAGUGGCGAAGGCGGCUCACUGGCGCAUUUCUGACGCUGAGGCGCGAAAGCGUGGGGAGCAAACAGGAUUAGAUACCCUGGUAGUCCACGCCGUAAACGAUGAGGGCUAGUUGUCGGGCGGCUUGCCGUUCGGUGACGCAGCUAACGCAUUAAGCCCUCCGCCUGGGGAGUACGGUCGCAAGAUUAAAACUCAAAUGAAUUGACGGGG
rnacentral:rRNA from 1 species